GGGAUGGCGGUAGGCUAACAUGCAGUCGACGGCAGCCCAGGAGAGCUUGCUCUCUGGGUGGCGAGUGGCAGACGGGUGAGGAAUACAUCGGAAUCUACUCUGUCAUGGGGGAUAACGUAGGGAAACUUACGCUAAUACCGCAUACGACCUACGGGUGAAAGCACGGGAUCUUCGGGCCUUGCGCGAUUGAAUGAGCCGAUGUCGGAUUAUCUAGUUGGCGGGGUAAAGGCCCACCAAGGCGACGAUCCGUAGCUGGUCUGAGAGGAUGAUCAGCCGCACUGGAACUGAGACACGGUCCAGACUCCUACAGGAGGCAGCAGUGGGGAAUAUUGGACAAUGGGCGCAAGCCUGAUCCAGCCAUACCGCGUGGGUGAAGAAGGCCUUCAGGUUGUAAAGGACCCUUUUGUUUGGGGGAAAGAAAUCCAGCUGGCUAAUACCCGGUUGGGAUGACGGUACCCAAAGAAUUAAAAGCACCGGCUAACUUCGUGCCAUCAGCCGCGGUAAUACCAAGGGUGCAAGCGUUACUCUGCAAUUACUGGGCGUAAAGCGUGCGUAGGUGGUCGUUUAAGUCCGUUGUGAAAGCCCUGGGCUCAACCUGGUAACUGCAGUGGAUACUGUGCGACUAGAAUGUGGUAGAUGGUAGCGAAAUUCCUGGUGUAGCAGUGAAAUGCGUAAAGAUCAUGAGGAACAUCCAUGGCGAAGGGCAGCUACCUGGACCAACAUUGACACUGAGGCACGAAAGCGUGGGGAGCAAACAGGAUUAGAUACCCUGGUAGUCCACGCCCUAAACGAUGCGAACUGGAUGUUGGGUGCAAUUUGGCACUCCGUAUCUAAGCUAACGCGUUAAGUUCGCCGCCUGGUGAGUACGGUCGCAAGACUGAAACUCAAAGGAAUUGACGGGGGCCCGCACAACCGGUGCAGUAUGUGGAUUAAUUCGAUGCAUCCCGAACAACCUUACUUGGCCUUGACAUGUCGAAAACCUUCCAAAAAUGGAUGGGUGCCUCCGGGUACUCGAACACAGAUGCUGCAUGGCUGCCGUCAUCUCGUGUCCUGAAAUGCUGGGUUAAAUUCCUCAACAAGCGCAACCCUCGUCCUUAAUUGCCAGCACGCAAUGGUGGGAACUCUAAGAUAACCGCCGGUGACAACCCGAAGAAGGGUGGGGAUGACGUCAAGUCAUCAUGGCCCUUACGGCCAGGCUUACACCCCUACUACAUUGGUUAGGACAAAGGCUUGCCAGCCGGCACCGGUAAGCCGAUCCCAGAAAACCUAUCUCAUUCCGGAUUGGAGUCUGGCACUCCAUCCUGUGAAAUCGGAAUCCUUAGUAAUCCCAAACCAGCAUUCCCGCGGGAAACACGCUCCCGGCCCUUGGACACCCCCCCCGUCACCCCCUGGAUUUUUUUCCCACCAGAAACAGGUAAGUUAACUUCCGGAAAGGCCUUCCCCCUUUGCCUUAA
rnacentral:rRNA from 1 species